rnacentral:hammerhead_ribozyme from 1 species
AGCCAUCUGACGAGUCCUAGAUAGGACGAAAGGCAAGUCCUGGAU